GAUAAAGAAGGGAAUUAAACCCAUAUAUGUAGGACUACAGCCUACUGCCUUACACUCGGCCACUUUAAC
rnacentral:tRNA from 1 species